CGAGCGCAACCCUCACUUUUAGUUGCCAUCAUUAAGUUGGGCACUCUGAAAGAACUGCCAGUGAUAAGCUGGAGGAAGGUGGGGAUGACGUCAAGUCCUCAUGGCCCUUACGUGUUGGGCUACACACGUGCUACAAUGGUAUCUACAACAGGAAGCAAGACUGCGAAGUUAAGCAAAUCCCUAAAAGAUACCUCAGUUCGGAUUGCACUCUGCAACUCGAGUGCAUGAAGCUGGAAUUACUAGUAAUCGUGGAUCAGCGUGCCACGGUGAAUGCGUUCCCGGGUCUUGUACACACCGCCCGUCACACCAUGGGAGUUGGUUCUACCUUAAGGCAAGGUUUCAAACCCUUGACCACGGUAUAGUCAGCGACUGGGGUGAAGUCGUAACAAGGUAGCCGUAGGGGAACCUGCGGCUGGAUUACCUCCUUU
rnacentral:rRNA from 1 species